UACGUAGGGGGCAAGCGUUGUCCGGAAUUAUUGGGCGUAAAGAGCGUGUAGGCGGUCCGGUAAGUCGGCUGUGAAAGUCCAGGGCUCAACCCUGGGAUGCCGGUCGAUACUGCCGGACUAGAGUUCGGAAGAGGCGAGUGGAAUUCCCGGUGUAGCGGUGAAAUGCGCAGAUAUCUGGAGGAACACCGGUGGCGAAGGCGGCUCCUGGCCGGACCACU
rnacentral:rRNA from 1 species